GAAAUGCGAUAAGUAAUGUGAAUUGCAGAAUUCAGUGAAUCAUCGAAAAUUUGAACGCAUCUUGCGCUCCUUGGUAUUCUGAGGAGCAUGCCUGUUUGAGUGUCAUUAAUUUAUCAAAAUUACUGUAAUAGUGAUUUUGGAUGAUGGGAGUUACGGGACUUCUCGUAGAGAGAGGAUCAGCUCUCCUGAAAAGAAUUAGCAAAGGUUAAAAAGCCUUUAUUAGUGUGAUAAAUAGAAAUUGAUCACUAAGGGAAAAGGCUUGUCUGGCUUUGUUAUUAUGUAAACUUUAACCGGCUUUUGCUGGAAAAUGAAUGACGAAAUUUGACCUCAAAUCAGGUAGGAUCACCCGCUGAACUUAA
rnacentral:rRNA from 1 species